rnacentral:rRNA from 1 species
UACGUAGGGCGCAAGCGUUUGUCCGGAAUUAUUGGGCGUAAAGAGCUCGUAGGCGGUCUGUCGCGUCUGCCGUGAAAACCCGAGGCUUAACCUCGGGCUGGCGGUGGAUACGGGCAGACUAGAGGUAGGUAGGGGAGAAUGGAAUUCCCGGUGUAGCGGUGAAAUGCGCAGAUAUCGGGAGGAACACCGGUGGCGAAGGCGGUUCUCUGGGCAUUACCUGACGCUGAGGAGCGAAAGCAUGGGGAGCGAACAGG